rnacentral:lncRNA from 1 species
CUGUACUCAGUGAUGACCUCCAAUCCUCUCAAAGAGAAACUCCUUCUCAGUUACAGGAAAGAGUCCAUCAGGAAGUUGACAUGAACAACCCUUCUUCACCUGUGGGAAUGUCUGAAACUGUCGCUGGAUGUCUUCAGCUCCUACAAAACAUCAGCUAUUGCAGAAUGUCACUGGUGAAAAUACGAGCAUAUGUAUGGAAUUGAUUUAAUGCCAGCUAAAGGAACAUUAAUCUAGCUGCAAAUUUUCACUGCAG